rnacentral:rRNA from 1 species
AGUGAACGCUGGCGGUAGGCCUAACACAUGCAAGUCGAACGGCAGCACAGUAAGAGCUUGCUCUUACGGGUGGCGAGUGGCGGACGAGUGAGGAAUACAUCGGAAUCUACUUUUUCGUGGGGGAUAACGUAGGGAAACUUACGCUAAUACCGCAUACGACCUACGGGUGAAAGCAGGGGAUCUUCGGACCUUGCGCGAUUGAAUGAGCCGAUGUCGGAUUAGCUAGUUGGCGGGGUAAAGGCCCACCAAGGCGACGAUCCGUAGCUGGUCUGAGAGGAUGAUCAGCCACACUGGAACUGAGACACGGCCCAGACUCCUACAGGAGGCAGCAGUGGGGAAUAUUGGACAAUGGGCGCAAGCCUGAUCCAGCCAUACCGCGUGGGUGAAGAAGGCCUUCGGGUUGUAAAGCCCUUUUGUUGGGAAAGAAAAGCAGCAGGUUAAUACCCCGCUGUUCUGACGGUACCCGAAGAAUAAGCACCGGCUAACUUCGUG